UUGUUAUAUGUCAUUGUUUAUGUUAUAGUUUUAUACUGGCAUGCGUUAUGCGAACUGGACUAAAAGUUAUGAAAUUAAAGUAAACUAGAAUCUCUCACAUGCUGAGGCAAAAAGAUAUAUGAGGGAACCACAGCUGUAAGGGAUGUUGUGCCCCCAUUUUUUUUUCAGGAAAUGCAGUCUUUUCUGCUUCUAAUAUUUGAGUCUCAGUGCCUGCUGGACUCCAAGGCUUUAUUCUUACAAAUAAUUAAGAUUUGUAAUUAUCUUAUUGUAUGAUCAAUUCAUUUUAGAGGAUUCCAACUGGUAAAGUUGGUAAAAUUUGUUGUUUUGAUGCAAGAAACCUAGGUUUAUCCACCCUUAACUUAAUAAUUGGUUGGGCUUCCAUUUGUCCUAAUUCUCAAAGAGAGAGAAGAUCAAUUUGUUUUCAAGAAAAAACUUGUGGAUAACUUGUUUCAGUAAUAGAAUAAUUGAAAGACAUUUUAAAAAAUCUAAAAUAAAAGAUUUUGUUGUAAAAGAAAUAAUGAAGUACACUCUCAAUAAGGCUUUAGUGAUCCUAGGCAUCUUGUUGAAGAUAGAUAUCAAAAUAUCUUAGGUCAUGUUUUUGUUCAAUUCUCUAGUGUUAUAUCUUUGGGCUUAAGGUCAAGCAGCCAUAUCGAAAGGAGGGUAGAAGUUUAAAUAGCUUCCUGAAUUAUGAAAUAAGCCUUUUUUCUUGGCAAUUAAGCAAAUAAUUGAAAUUGGAAUUAAUGCAAGGGAUAUUAACUCUGAUGGGAAAUGUAAACAAAUAGAUAAAGAAACGGAUAAAGAAAGAUGACCAAUACUAAAGGGUUUGAGAGAGAGGGUUCAGGGGUUAUAAUUCAAAUAAGGAGGAAGAAGAAAUGAGAUUGUUGGGAUUAGAAGAGACAACUUAGCUGGCCUCGAACCCAAAAACAACAAGCCUAACCUGCCUGUUUGGUUGGAUUGGGUUGAGAGACUAGGAACUUUAGUUGGGAUUAGGCUCAAAAAUUCCAACUUGACUUCAAGUUGUUUUAUGUUAGGGUUGAGCUCAAACCCAUCCUGAAUUUGACUACAAAUCAACUUAAAUCCCAUUGGAUUAUAGACUUAUGUGUCACUGUUUAUGCCAUUCAUCCAUUUAUUUUUGUUGAAGUUUAAGAGAUCCACCCCUAUUCCUCUUUAUUAAAAUUUCAAGCCAACCAACAUUAACUUGACAAAGGUUUCCCAAGCCUUGCUGUGAUACCCCAACCUAGCUUAAACCCAACCGCACGAAGCAACAUAAGAUUUUGCAUGAAUCUCAAAGCACCAAAAAAAAAAGUAAAAAGGGUGGAAAAAGUCGUGCUGGACUUUUAUGGUGGAAGGACUUCCAAAGGAGUCUUCCUUCCUCCAUUGUCUUCAACUCCCUAUCACAUUGGAAGUCAGAUUUCUUCCGGCUUCCUCCCCCCUCUGGCCCUAUUUAAAAGGAAGAGAGCUUCCCUCUCUUUCCCAUCAAAAAUCGAGUCUCAAGCUGGUGAAAUUGUCAGACUUUUCUUUUCGAGGGCCUCCACCAUAUUCGUCGGAAAUCGCAGUCGAGCAUCACCGGAAAAGCUAGAUAACAGUUGGCAAUAGUUGAUCAACCCUCGUCUCUUUCUUAGUUGUUAGCUCAUGGAUUCCGACUGACAAAAAAAAAUCAUCGGAUUUUGUCGAAAAAGGGACUCAACUAAAUCCCCUGUUUUCUUGAUUUCUUGCAUGCGUUUCUUAAUUUUUCUAGCGACAGUCGUCACUGCCGACCAUCAGUCAAUGAUCCCUCAUCCUUGUCGCUAUAGCUUGCAUCCCGACCACUGCCACCAUCAAGAAGAAGUCUCCCCUAUUCCAAGAAAGAAGGGAACGGGAAGUUCCCUGUUCCACCAAGAGAAAAAGGGGAAAAAGAAAAAAAAAAAAAAAGAAAAGAAAAAAAAGGAGAAUAUGGCGAUGUGAUCUAUGAAUUGAAGAUUUUGAAAAAAAAAAUUAUGGAAUUAUGUGGAUUUAAUGGAGUACGCUUGAGGCAUUUGGUUGGGCAUAUAUCAACAACCGCCACAAUACAUGGGAACAAUUUUAUGUCUACUGGAUAUGCCCUUUCAUUGGUGCCAUUCUGGCUGCUUGGGUUUUCAGGACUCUCUUCCUGCAAAAGGUCAAGGCUAAAAGUGCAUGAGGUUAAAUAGAUGAAGCCGGACAGUUAGGUUUUGAUACUCUAGUGAAAUAAAACUGUUAGAGUAUCGUGGCUGAAGGUUAUACCGUAUCUCCGAUUUUCGUUUUUGUUGAACCGUCUUUAGUCUAUGUUUUUGUUGCAGUAAUAUCAAUAUGAAAUAAAAUUCAACAUUUGUAGUUA